rnacentral:lncRNA from 1 species
AUUAAACUGCAGAUGAGUAUGGCACCAAGAUAGACCACUGUCUACUGCAGCCUGGACUGAGAUAGUCACUCUCAUGAUAAAUGUAAUUACAAAUGUGUUCCAUCUCCCAGGAUUGUAUCCAAAUGAAAAACAGAAGUCUCAACUGAGAUGGAGUGGAAAACUCCUGAGCAGGUAACGCUGAUAGAGUAAUACAAGACAGAAGACGGAGGGGAAAAACUAGCUAUGCAAGACUAGUGCUGCUGAAAAAAUGAAUGGGGCUACACCUAAUUUGUCUUAGAUGCUCUCAUGACAGCUCUCAUUUGGAUAAGCAUUACCCAUAAAUCUUCUUUCUAAUAAAGACUUACAAAACUGGAAACA